CUGGUAUGAAGGCUGCUAAUGGACUGGUAUCCAAGGCCGUCUUUGCUCACUGCCGAAGAGCUGCUAGCAUUGGUGCCCCAGGUGAAGAAACUAGGACUUGGAGAAAGUUUGAGAGACAUGCCCACGAUAACAUAGUGUCAGAAGGAGGAUUCGAACCCAGAACUUUUCUGAUUCCAUGUCUAGCAGCCUUCCCACUACACCACUGAAGACCUCUAAUGUCACAGAAUUCACCAACGCCUCAGGUCCGCUGCUCUUUUCCCAGAGGACUGCUUGGGACUGGUUCCACAUUCCACCUGGGGCUAACUCACCUGCAC